rnacentral:rRNA from 1 species
GACAGAGGGUGCAAACGUUGCUCGGAAUCACUAGGGCGUAAAGGGCGUGUAGGCGGGAAUGUAAGUCCGGGCGUGGAAAUCCCUAGGCUCAACCUAGGAACUGCACUCGAAACUGCGUUUCUUGAGUAUCGGAAGAGGAAAGCGGAAUUCCUGGUGUAGAGGUGAAAUGACGCAGAUAGUCAGGAGGAACACCGAUGGCGAAGGCAGGUCUCU